rnacentral:lncRNA from 10 species
GCCGCCUCGGAGCGGCUGUACGAGUUGUGGCUGCUCUACUACGCGCAGGCCAGAGGAGGCAGGUGCAGAGGUCCCGCUGCUACCACUGGAUGAGCUGCAUGUGCUGGCCGAACAGCUGCACCAGGCUGACCUGGAGCAAGCCCUCCUGCUGCUCAAGCUCUUCAUCAUUCUCUGCAGGAACCUGGAGAACAUAGAGGCAGGCCGGGGCCAAGUGCUAGUGCCCCGAGUGCUGGCACUGUUGACCAAGUUGGUGGCGGAGCUGAAAGGAUGCCCACCACCCCAGGGCCGAGGCACG